UAAAUGGAGAGUUUGAUCCUAGCUCAGGAUGAACGCUGGCGGCAUGCCUAAUACAUGCAAGUCGAACGCACUAGUUUACUA
rnacentral:rRNA from 1 species